CGUUAUGGCAUAGUACACCACCCUGAACACGCUUGAUCUCGUCCUAUUUUAAAAAGGGUUGGGCCUGGUCAGUACUUGGAUAGGAGACCACCUGGGAAUACCAGGUGCUGUAAGUU
ensembl:rRNA 5S_rRNA 5S ribosomal RNA